rnacentral:lncRNA from 1 species
GCUGGGCGUGGUGGCUCACGCCUGUAAUCCCAGCACUUUGGGAGGCUGAGGCGGGCAAAUCACGAGGUCAGGAGAUCAAGACCAGCCUGGCCAACAUGGUGAAACCCUGUCUCUACUAAAAAUACACACACACACACACACACAAAAGCCAGGCGUGGUGGCUAGUGCCUGUAAUCCCAGCUACUCAGGAGGCUGAGGCAGGAGAAUUGCUUGAACCUAGGAGGCAGAGAUUGCAGUGAGUCGAGAUCCCGCCACUGCACUCCAGCCUUGGAGACGGAGCAAGACCCCAUCUGGGAGGUGUCGGGUGGAAGAGGUAAAAUGGACAGCAGCAAACCACACGUGUGAUAGGAGAGAAUACUGAGCUGAGAUCAGUUUCCUAAAAUAUGAAUCCGAUUUCAGGAUCACUCAUUUAUCUGACUGUCAAGAACGCCUCUGAACAGGAGGAAGACUUUGGGGAGAGGGUGGGGUUUGUUGAAAGGGUACCGAGAAGGGAGGUGGGUGGUACCCAAACAAUUUGUUUACAUAAUGUUUUAUGGACCUGAAAUAUGUAGAACAGUACUUUGAAACUAAAGUACUGUACUGAAGUUUAAUUAUUUUUCUUAUUGUUUGCAUAUUCUCCCUCCCAGAUACUUUACAGAGGGCGCUAAAGCUGAUCCCCUGGGAGCUUCAGAGUUUAAUGACUUCGCCUGAAGAUUUCCUAUUCUUUUCCACAACGUGCUAAGUCAAAUUAUGGCCAAAUUACCAAUCGCAUGGUAAUUCAGCUUCUAAAUAUAUUUUGCAGAGUGUUUCCAAAAGUUAAAAAACAACAACAAAACUUCACCUAAAUUGUUUUUACUUGCUUCACCUUAAAUCAGUUAUUCGGUUCCUUUGAAGAACAUGUAGCUUUAGCAACCCCCAAAGUGAACCCAGAUACCCAGGACUACUGAUUGUUACAUCAGAGUUUUUGAAAACGCCAAUACUGGAAACAGGCCGACAGUUAAGGAGAGGCAGGCCUCAAACUAAAGCAGAACCUUCUCAAAACUACUUAUAUUUCAAGAGAUGGAUUAAGCGAAAAGAGCUGUACAAAGAAAUAAGCCAUUUUCUAUGCGCCUGUUAUAUGCAAGGCACUGCACUCCCUUGUCACUUGUUAAUUUACAAGAAGACUCGCCGGUCCAGGGAAGGGAGAGGGGAAUAGGUGCAAGGUUUGUGGAGGGCGGCAAACUGCACUCCAUGUGGCGCGAGGCUGCGCUUGCGGAGAUCCGGGUUCUGGUGCCUGGCGCCGGCAGCCAGUAGGGGCGCGCGUCCUGCGCAGUUGCCGCGCGC